rnacentral:misc_RNA from 1 species
UAUCACAGAACCACUCGACACUCCGAUUUUUUCACUUUUAACUGCAACAAAUGUAGAAUGACAUUUGCAUGGGCAAAAGAUUUAGAAAAACACUUGUUGAAAUGCCAUCGUUAGACCCUAUCAUAAUUGUGUAUUCUGCUAUUUUCAUUUAUACCAAGACAUUAUGAGUUUUAAGUGACCCAUGGUUAUUAAGGAAUGAAAGUCUUGUGUAUCUGCGGUGGAUAUAUCAGAAACUAAACUUCUCUAAAGCAAAUAUUGAACCCUCUUUUAGAUGACUGAAGUUUUAUCUCAAUCUAGAGACUCUAUCAAAACUAUAUUUUUAAACGAGAAAAGCUUUUUGUAGAAGAAAAACUUCCAUAGAGGCCAUUUUUGAUCUGUAGAGCUGUAUUUGUACUGGCUGGGGGGUGUUCACUAGUACGUAUACUAUAAGCCACUUGUAUUAUAUUUACUUUGUAUACAUUGGAAGUUUAAUGCACUCUGUUAUAAAUGUAUACUCUUUUUUGUGUAUAUAUGUAGAUAAGGAAGUUCAGGUACAUGCCUCGUGUGUCUAUUUUCAUAUUUGUGCGUGCAUGUUGCUGAGAGUAUACCCUGGACAUUUUUUAAACAGACUCAGCUGUAGCACUUACCACAAUUCGUGGAAUUUAUGCAAAAUAAAAAAAGUAUGCAUGAAUGUCAGCCUGUUCAGAUGUAUGGUGGUUAUGUAAGGAGUUUUUAAAAUGUCGAAUCGUUAGUUAACAGUAUCAUACAGAACUGUCGGUGAUUACAAUGUCAAGGUUGUUAUUUUUUUUUUAAAUAUUUGUACAGCAUAUGUCUAUGAGCAAGCCGAAUUUUUGAUGUAAAUCUUGUGGAAAAGGGAAAUAGAUUUAUUGUUUGGAGUUUUUUUAACAAAAAUUUGAGACUGUGGUGGAAAUGCAGGGAAUUACUCCUUGGGAAAUACAGUGUUAGUUUCAGAUCCUAUGUCCUGACCUGGUAUUAUUUUUAAUGUUUCUUUUGUGUUGAAAAGUCACACCAGAAUAAUCUGCAGUGUUGCAUGGGAUUUAAAUCUUUUUUCCUUCCACAUUGGGGUAUACCCACUCUUCAGUGAUAUCUGGGAUUUCCCAGCUUUUUUAUUUUGUGGACAAGAUAAUGAACCGCCACCUUCCUUGAUAUUUAGGACAAAUGAUGACUAUGCAUAACAUACUGGGGUAGACUUGAAUGAAAUACAAUGUACACGUUAGUAUCAGAACAGGUGUAAAAGGGGUCUUAAACUGUGUUUGCAUUAACUUUAUAUACUGUGCCUUAUUGACAUAUUUUCAGAAGCACCAUUACAACUGGUUUUAUACAACGAGUCGCGAUCCAAUAGGAUUUUAGUUAUGUGCUACCCUUUCCCUGUGUGCCUUCAUAUAGAUGGAUGUUAUGCCUUCUGUACAGAAAUAAAUUUAUUAUACCUUUU